GAAUGAAAUGAUGAAGACAUUAUAUUUGAUGUUGAAUAUGAUAGCAUUCAUGUAUUAGCUCUAGCUGAUCAUUC
rfam:Ipomoea nil DNA, scaffold: scaffold0298, cultivar: Tokyo-kokei standard.